rnacentral:rRNA from 1 species
AUUGAACGCUGGCGGCAUGCUUUACACAUGCAAGUCGAACGGUAACAGGCCGCAAGGUGCUGACGAGUGGCGAACGGGUGAGUAAUGCAUCGGAACGUGCCCAGUCGUGGGGGAUAACGCAGCGAAAGCUGUGCUAAUACCGCAUACGAUCUAUGGAUGAAAGCGGGGGACCGUAAGGCCUCGCGCGAUUGGAGCGGCCGAUGUCAGAUUAGCUAGUUGGUGGGGUAAAGGCCCACCAAGGCGACGAUCUGUAGCUGGUCUGAGAGGACGACCAGCCACACUGGGACUGAGACACGGCCCAGACUCCUACGGGAGGCAGCAGUGGGGAAUUUUGGACAAUGGGCGCAAGCCUGAUCCAGCAAUGCCGCGUGCAGGAAGAAGGCCUUCGGGUUGUAAACUGCUUUUGUACGGAACGAAACGGUCUGGGUUAAUACCCUGGGCUAAUGACGGUACCGUAAGAAUAAGCACCGGCUAACUACGUGCCAGCAGCCGCGGUAACAC